AAUGCCCCUCGAGGCGUUGCAGCCCAACUUUGAGUGUUACGGCUGUGUCAUGAGGUGGCAGAGAGAAACUGGUGGUGGUCUACACCGAGACUCUACACCCACCGAGGGCUCGGAGUGAUUUUGCUCCACCGACAGA
ensembl:snoRNA small nucleolar RNA SNORA17